GACGAACGCUGGCGGCGUGCUUAACACAUGCCAGUCGAACGGAAAGGCCCUGCUUUUGUGGGGUGCUCGAGUGGCGAACGGGUGAGUAACACGUGAGUAACCUGCCAUUGACUUUGGGAUAACUUCAGGAAACUGGGGCUAAUACCGGAUAGGAGCUCCUGCUGCAUGGUGGGGGUUGGAAAGUUUCGGCGGUUGGGGAUGGACUCGCGGCUUAUCAGCUUGUUGGUGGGGUAGUGGCUUACCAAGGCUUUGACGGGUAGCCGGCCUGAGAGGGUGACCGGCCACAUUGGGACUGGGAUACGGCCCGGACUCCUACGGGAGGCAGCAGUGGGGAAUAUUGCACAAUGGGCGGAAGCCUGAUGCAGCAACGCCGCGUGCGGGAUGACGGCCUUCGGGUUGUAAACCGCUUUCGCCUGUGACGAAGCGUGAGUGACGGUAAUGGGUAAAGAAGCACCGGCUAACUACGUG
rnacentral:rRNA from 1 species